AACGAACGCUGGCGGCAGGCCUAACACAUGCAAGUCGAGCGAGGACUUCGGUCCUAGCGGCGGACGGGUGCGUAACGCGUGGGAACGUGCCCUUUGCUUCGGAAUAGCCCUGGGAAACUGGGAGUAAUACCGGAUGAGCCCUUUGGGGGAAAGAUUUAUCGGCGAAGGAUCGGCCCGCGUUGGAUUAGGUAGUUGGUGGGGUAAUGGCCUAUCAAGCCGACGAUCCAUAGCUGGUUUGAGAGGAUGAUCAGCCACACUGGGACUGAGACACGGCCCAGACUCCUACGGGAGGCAGCAGUGGGGAAUCUUAGACAAUGGGGGAAACCCUGAUCGAGCCAUGCCGCGUGAGCGAUGAAGGCCUUAGGGUUGUAAAGCUCUUUAAGCUGGGAAGAUAAUGACGGUACCAGAAGAAGAAGCCCCGGCUAACUCCGUG
rnacentral:rRNA from 1 species